UGACGUAAUCCAGGUCUGCAUGAGUUUGUUGUUGGAUAAGGUGGAAAACCUAUCCCUGUUGGCCUAUUGAAUGAAAGGUAGCUGGGAUGGAGUAAUAAGCUGACAGAUUGAUCCUUUUAUUUUUUCUGUGUUGAAUGGGGUAUGGGUUCAGAAAGGUCGCUGUAUUUUGAUAAACAUCCAUAGAUCCACUUUAUUCAUAAAUAAAUAAAACAACUCUCCAUAUCUUUUGCAAA